AGGGGGCUUAGUGGUGGGGUGACUGCGUACCUUUUGUAUAAUGGGUCAGCGACUUAUAUUCUGUAGCAAGGUUAACCGUAUAGGGGAGCCGGAGGGAAACCGAGUCUUAACCGGGCGUUAAGUUGCAGGGUAUAGACCCGAAACCCGGUGAUCUAGCCAUGGGCAGGUUGAAGGUUGGGUAACACUAACUGGAGGACCGAACCGACUAAUGUUGAAAAAUUAGCGGAUGACCUGUGGCUGGGGGUGAAAGGCCAAUCAAACCGGGAGAUAGCUGGUUCUCCCCGAAAGCUAUUUAGGUAGCGCCUCGUGAAUUCAUCUCCGGGGGUAGAGCACUGUUUCGGCUAGGGGGCCAUCCCGGCUUACCAACCCGAUGCAAACUGCGAAUACCGGAGAAUGUUAUCACGGGAGACACACGGCGGGUGCUAACGUCCGUCGUGAAGAGGGAAACAACCCAGACCGCCAGCUAAGGUCCCAAAGUCAUGGUUAAGUGGGAAACGAUGUGGGAAGGCCCAGACAGCCAGGAUGUUGGCUUAGAAGCAGCCAUCAUUUAAAGAAAGCGUAAUAGCUCACUGGUCGAGUCGGCCUGCGCGGAAGAUGUAACGGGGCUAAACCAUGCACCGAAGCUGCGGCAGCGACACUCAGGUGUUGUUGGGUAGGGGAGCGUUCUGUAAGCCUGUGAAGGUGGCCUGUGAGGGUUGCUGGAGGUAUCAGAAGUGCGAAUGCUGACAUAAGUAACGAUAAAGCGGGUGAAAAGCCCGCUCGCCGGAAGACCAAGGGUUCCUGUCCAACGUUAAUCGGGGCAGGGUGAGUCGACCCCUAAGGCGAGGCCGAAAGGCGUAGUCGAUGGGAAACGGGUUAAUAUUCCCGUACUUGGUGUUACUGCGAAGGGGGGACGGAGAAGGCUAUGUUGGCCGGGCGACGGUUGUCCCGGUUUAAGCGUGUAGGUGUGUGUUCCAGGUAAAUCCGGUUCACUUUAACACUGAGGCGUGACGACGAGGCACUACGGUGCUGAAGCAACAAAUGCCCUGCUUCCAGGAAAAGCCUCUAAGCAUCAGGUAACAUCAAAUCGUACCCCAAACCGACACAGGUGGUCAGGUAGAGAAUACCAAGGCGCUUGAGAGAACUCGGGUGAAGGAACUAGGCAAAAUGGUGCCGUAACUUCGGGAGAAGGCACACUGACACGUAGGUGAAGUGAUUUACUCAUGGAGCUGAAGUCAGUCGAAGAUACCAGCUGGCUGCAACUGUUUAUUAAAAACACAGCACUGUGCAAACACGAAAGUGGACGUAUACGGUGUGACGCCUGCCCGGUGCCGGAAGGUUAAUUGAUGGGGUCAGCGCAAGCGAAGCUCCUGAUCGAAGCCCCGGUAAACGGCGGCCGUAACUAUAACGGUCCUAAGGUAGCGAAAUUCCUUGUCGGGUAAGUUCCGACCUGCACGAAUGGCGUAAUGAUGGCCAGGCUGUCUCCACCCGAGACUCAGUGAAAUUGAACUCGCUGUGAAGAUGCAGUGUACCCGCGGCAAGACGGAAAGACCCCGUGAACCUUUACUAUAGCUUGACACUGAACAUUGAGCCUUGAUGUGUAGGAUAGGUGGGAGGCUUUGAAGUGUGGACGCCAGUCUGCAUGGAGCCGACCUUGAAAUACCACCCUUUAAUGUUUGAUGUUCUAACGUGGACCCGU
rnacentral:rRNA from 1 species